UAUCUCGGGGUAGUAUAAGGAGGAUGGGAGAGAGGAAGAAAAUGCUAGACUGCGAUAGUACUGAGCCGGGGAUAAGCUUGGUGCUAUCUCUUUUUUUUAGUUUUCUUGUUUCUUUUGUGUUAGUGUUGAUUCUAGUGAAGAGAAUCGAUUUAAUGAAUUAAUAUUUGCUUUACGAAGUUAUUUAUGGAUCAUUGUUUAUCAAUUGUUGUGAAAGAUUGAGGACAUAUGGAAGUUUCCAGUCACUGUUUAUCGCAAGGUUGUAAGUUUAGUGGAGAGAAAUUGUAAUCAAAGGAAUUGUCUUGAUUAGAUUUUGUGGAUUGGAAGUUGUUUGUUCCAGGGUUUGGGAUAUGCUUGUGUAUUCGUGAAUUACAUAGGGUACUGAAAUCAUUGUCGUGGAUGUUAUUGUAUUCAUAUGAGAGAGUGGACAGUAGGAGGAAAAAUUAAGUGUUCUUCGAUAUGGUAAG
rnacentral:lncRNA from 1 species